rnacentral:misc_RNA from 1 species
AAAAAAGUAAAAAGAUUUAACCAAUUGAAUUAGUAUAGGCUUGCACAACUACUUGAUUAUAUAUAUUCAUAUUCUUUGUGUGCUACUGAGUAAGUUUUAGAAAUCAAAUCAUUUUGUCAUUUUCCUGCAUUGUUGAAGGAAUCUAAAUGUUGAUCCUUCUAAUGUUAUAACUCAAAGAUUUCUGCAAACUAAGUGAAAGAGAAAAAAAUUUUGAAGACUUGGUGGUCUCCUGAAAAAGAGGGCGACUUCACAUAGUAGUUUUUGGUUCAAUUAAGUGUUGUUCAACAUUGUGUGAUACACAUCUUUAUCAAUUUCGUUUGUGAAUUAAGAUUUCAGAUUCCAAUUCCUUUUUCUUUCCUCUAUCUUCUUUCCUCUAUCUCCUGGUAACCAAGAGGAAAUGUAACACUUGUGGUUGAUGAUUGAGAUGUGGGAAGUAGUCGAUGAUUGGUCAUUGAAAGAAAU